rnacentral:sRNA from 26 species
CCCUAGCCCCGAUAGUAGUGAAAAUCCUUUUUUGAGGCUUUUCGCCGAAAAAAAGAUUGAAACGAAUAGCGGGAUUAGCU